rnacentral:rRNA from 1 species
AGUGAACGCUGGCGGUAGGCCUAACACAUGCAAGUCGAACGGCAGCACAGUAAGAGCUUGCUCUUACGGGUGGCGAGUGGCGGACGGGUGAGGAAUACAUCGGAAUCUACUUUUUCGUGGGGGAUAACGUAGGGAAACUUACGCUAAUACCGCAUACGACCUACGGGGGAAAGCAUGGGAUCUUCGGACCUUGCGCGAAUGGAUGAGCCGAUGUCGGAUUAGCUAGUUGGCGGGGUAAAGGCCCACCAAGGCGACGAUCCGUAGCUGGUCUGAGAGGAUGAUCGGCCACACUGGAACUGAGACACGGUCCAGGCUCCUACGGGAGGGAGCAGUGGGGAAUAUUGGACAAUGGGCGCAAGCCUGAUCCAGCCAUACCGAGUGGGUGAAGAAGGCCUUCGGGUUGUAAAGCCCUUUUGUUGGGAAAGAAAAGCAGCAGGUUAAUACCCCGCUGUUCUGACGGUAACCAAAGAAUAAGCACCGGCUAACUUCGUG